rnacentral:rRNA from 1 species
CUUCCGUAGGUGAACCUGCGGAAGGAUCAUUACAGUAUUGUUUCGGGGGGACUGCUGCUGGCUCCUAGGAGCAUGUGCGCGUCUUCCUUUCUAACAUUCACACCUGUGCACCUAUGGAUGAGGUCCUAUGAUAAUAGGACCUUGUCCAUUAUCAUACAUAUAAAGCCUGUCUCUAAUGCAUGUGUAUUGACGUUCUAAGGAGCGGAUAUAUAAAUACAACUUUCAACAACGGAUCUCUUGGCUUUCGCAUCGAUGAAGAACGCCGCGAAAGUGCGAAACGUAAUGUGAAUUGCAGAAUUCAGUGAAUCAUCGAAUCUUUGAACGCAUCUUGCGCUCCUUGGUAUUCCGAGGAGCAUGCCUGUUUGAGUGUCGCGACCCUCCUCAAUCCCUUCUCCCUCUUCUGGGGGGGUUUUGGGCUUGGACUUUGGACGUCUGCUGUGGGGAACUAGUCCUCUCCUAUAGGCUCGUCUUGAAAUGUAUUAGCUGUGAAACUUGUCAUUAGAACGGUGUGAUAAGAAUACAUUUUUCUGUAGCGUCGUCUCUAAUCAAGGGCACUGCUUCUAAUCGUCCUUUGGACAAUUCAUGUCAUCUGACCUCAAAUCAGGUAGGACUACCCGCUGAACUUAAGCAUAU